rnacentral:rRNA from 1 species
UACAGAGGUGGCAAGCGUUGUUCGGAAUUACUGGGCGUAAAGGGCGCGUAGGCGGUUCGUUAAGUCCUGUGUGAAAUCCCCCGGCUCAACUGGGGAACUGCACAGGAAACUAGCGGGCUUGAAUUCGGGAGAGGGAUGCAGAAUUCCAGGUGUAGCGGUGAAAUGCGUAGAUAUCUGGAGGAACACCGGUGGCGAAGGCGGCAUCCUGGACCGGUAUUGACGCUGAGGCGCGAAAGCCAGGGGAGCAAACGGU